AUACUUACCAUGAUCUGGAAGGUGGUUUCCCCAGGGCGAGGCUCAUCCAUUGCACUGCAGGUGUGCUGAGCCCUGCGAGUUCCCCAAAUGAGGGAAAAUCUAUUACAUAAUUUGUGGUAGUGGGAGACUGCGCUCGCGCUCUCCCCUG
rnacentral:snRNA from 1 species